rnacentral:rRNA from 1 species
UACGGAGGGUGCGAGCGUUGUCCGGAAUCACUGGGCGUAAAGGGCGCGUAGGCGGCUCAUGAAGGCUGUGGUGAAAGUCCGGGGCUCAACCUCGGAUCGGCCGUGGCGACUCGUGGGCUGGAGCACUGUAGAGGCGGGUGGAAUUCCGGGUGUAGCGGUGGAAUGCGUAGAUAUCGGAAGGAACACCAGUGGCGAAAGCGGCUUCCUGGUCCAGCACCGACGUUCAGGCACGAAAGCGUGGGGAGCAAACAGG